rnacentral:miRNA from 1 species
ACUUUAGAGACCAACUAAGUUUGUUCUGGGUAUAAGUUUCGUGUGCAUGCACACUUCUUCAGAUACACGCGCAUGAAAGCUUAUACUCAGAACAAACUUAGUUGGUCUCUAAGGU